CCUUCAGUUCGGCUGGACCGGUGGACAGGUGGCUGCAUGGCUGUCGUCAGCUCGUGUCGUGAGAUGUUGGGUUAAGUCCCGCAACGAGCGCAACCCUUGCCUUUAGUUGCCAGCAGUUCGGCUGGGCACUCUAAAGGGACUGCCGGUGUUAAACCGGAGGAAGGUGGGGAGUGACGUCAAGUCCUCAUGGCCUUUAUGACCAGGGCUACACACGUACUACAAUGGCCGAUACAAAGGGCAGCGACACUGCGAGGUGAAGCCAAUCCCGUAAAAUCGGUCUCAGUCCGGAUUGGAGUCUGCAACUCGGCUCCAUGAAGUUGGAAUCGCUAGUAAUCGUGGAUCAGCAUGCCACGGUGAAUACGUUUCCGGGCCUU
rnacentral:rRNA from 1 species